rnacentral:rRNA from 1 species
UGUAAGCGUAUACCAAAGUUGUUGCAGUUAAAACGCUCGUAGUCGGACUUUGGCAGUUCCGGAUGUGUGCGCGUCGUGUGCGCACUUCGCGGGGAUUGCUUUUGUGGUCUUGCGUAGGAUGAGGCACUUUUAUUAGUGAACGUCCUCACGCAACCACUUUUUACUGUGAGAAAAUCAGAGUGCUCAAAGCAGGCAUUUGCCGUGAAUGUAUUAGCAUGGAAUAAUAGAAUAGGACUUGGUUCUAUUUUGUUGGUUUGUUGGGACUGAGUAAUGAUUAAGAGGGACAGUUGGGGGCAUUUGUAUUUCGGUGCUAGAGGUGAAAUUCUUAGAUUACCGAAAGACAAACUGCUGCGAAAGCGUCUGCCAAGGAUGUUUUCAUUGA